rnacentral:rRNA from 1 species
UACGGGAGGCAGCAGUGGGGAAUAUUGCACAAUGGGCGCAAGCCUGAUGCAGCCAUGCCGCGUGUAUGAAGAAGGCCUUCGGGUUGUAAAGUACUUUCAGUCGUGAGGAAGGUGUUAAGGUUAAUAACCUUAGCAAUUGACGUUAGCGACAGAAGAAGCACCGGCUAACUCCGUGCCAGCAGCCGCGGUAAUACGGAGGGUGCGAGCGUUAAUCGGAAUUACUGGGCGUAAAGGGCACGCAGGCGGUUAAUUAAGUUGGAUGUGAAAUCCCCGGGCUUAACCUGGGAAUGGCAUUCAAGACUGGUUAGCUAGAGUCUUGUAGAGGGGGUAGAAUUCCGAUGUGUAGCGGUGAAAUGCGUAGAGAUGUGGAGGAAUACCGGGUGGCGAAGGCGGCCCCUGGGACAAAGGCUGACGCUCAUGUGCGAAAGCGUGGGGAGCAAACAGGAUUAGAUACC